GACGAACCGUCCAAACGUUGUUCGGAAUCACUGGGCUUAAAGGGCGCGUAGGCAGGUUCGCAAGUCUGGGGUGAAAUCUUUCGGCUUAACCGGAAAAGGGCCUUGGAUACUGCGAGUCUCGAGGGAGGUAGGGGCCUGUGGAACUUUGGGUGGAGCGGUGAAAUGCGUUGAUAUCCAAAGGAACGCCGGUGGCGAAAGCGACGGGCUGGACCUCUUCUGACGCUGAGGCGCGAAAGCUAGGGGAGCAAACGGG
rnacentral:rRNA from 2 species